UGUCCUGUAGCUCAGCUGGUAGAGCACGCGACUGUUAAUCGUGGGGUCGAGGGUUCGAACCCCUCCGGGACAGCCA
rnacentral:tRNA from 1 species